rnacentral:rRNA from 1 species
GACGAACGCUGGCGGCGUGCUUAACACAUGCAAGUCGAACGGAAAGGCCCUGCUUUUGUGGGGUGCUCGAGUGGCGAACGGGUGAGUAACACGUGAGUAACCUGCCCUUGACUUUGGGAUAACUUCAGGAAACUGGGGCUAAUACCGGAUAGGAGCUCCUGCUGCAUGGUGGGGGUUGGAAAGUUUCGGCGGUUGGGGAUGGACUCGCGGCUUAUCAGCUUGUUGGUGGGGUAGUGGCUUACCAAGGCUUUGACGGGUAGCCGGCCUGAGAGGGUGACCGGCCACAUUGGGACUGAGAUACGGCCCAGACUCCUACGGGAGGCAGCAGUGGGGAAUAUUGCACAAUGGGCGGAAGCCUGAUGCAGCAACGCCGCGUGCGGGAUGACGGCCUUUCGGUUGUAAACCGCUUUCGCCUGUGACGAAGCGUGAGUGACGGUAAUGGGUAAAGAAGCACCGGCUAACUACGUGCCAGCAGCCGCGGUGAUACGUAGGGUGCGAGCGUUGUCCGGAUUUAUUGGGCGUAAAGGGCUCGUAGGUGGUUGAUCGCGUCGGAAGUGUAAUCUUGGGGCUUAACCCUGAGCGUGCUUUCGAUACGGGUUGACUUGAGGAAGGUAGGGGAGAAUGGAAUUCCUGGUGGAGCGGUGGAAUGCGCAGAUAUCAGGAGGAACACCAGUGGCGAAGGCGGUUCUCUGGGCCUUUCCUGACGCUGAGGAGCGAAAGCGUGGGGAGCGAACAGGCUUAGAUACCCUGGUAGUCCACGCUGUAAACGGUGGGUACUAGGUGUGGGGUCCAUUCCACGGGUUCCGUGCCGUAGCAAACGCUUUAAGUACCCCGCCUGGGGAGUACGGCCGCAAGGCUAAAACUCAAAGGAAUUGACGGGGCCCCGCACAAGCGGCGGAGCAUGCGGAUUAAUUCGAUGCAACGCGUAGAACCUUACCUGGGUUUGACAUGGAUCGGGAGUGCUCAGAGAUGGGUGUGCCUCUUUUGGGGUCGGUUCACAGGUGGUGCAUGGCUGUCGUCAGCUCGUGUCGUGAGAUGUUGGGUUAAGUCCCGCAACGAGCGCAACCCUUGUUCACUGUUGCCAGCACGUUAUGGUGGGGACUCAGUGGAGACCGCCGGGGUCAACUCGGAGGAAGGUGGGGAUGACGUCAGGUCAUCAUGCCCCUUAUGUCCAGGGCUUCACGCAUGCUACAAUGGCUGGUACAGAGAGUGGCGAGCCUGUGAGGGUGAGCGAAUCUCGGAAAGCCGGUCUCAGUUCGGAUUGGGGUCUGCAACUCGACCUCAUGAAGUCGGAGUCGCUAGUAAUCGCAGAUCAGCAACGCUGCGGUGAAUACGUUCCCGGGGCU